GCCCGCCUAGCUCAAUCGGAUAGAGCGUCAGACUCUUAGCGUUUGAGUGCGUGGCAUCUGAAGGCUGCGAGUUCGACCCUCGCGGUGGGCU